rnacentral:rRNA from 2 species
GGUUAAGCGACUAAGCGUACACGGUGGAUGCCCUGGCAGUCAGAGGCGAUGAAGGACGUGCUAAUCUGCGAAAAGCGUCGGUAAGGUGAUAUGAACCGUUAUAGCCGGCGAUGUCCGAAUGGGGAAACCCAGUGCAAUUCGUUGCACUAUCGUUAACUGAAUACAUAGGUUAACGAGGCGAACCGGGGGAACUGAAACAUCUAAGUACCCCGAGGAAAAGAAAUCAACCGAGAUUCCCCCAGUAGCGGCGAGCGAACGGGGAGCAGCCCAGAGUCUGAAUCAGCUUGUGUGUUAGUGGAACGGUCUGGAAAGUCCGACGGUACAGGGUGAUAGUCCCGUACACCAAAAUGCACAGGUUGUGAACUCGAAGAGUAGGGCGGGACACGUGGUAUCCUGUCUGAAUAUGGGGGGACCAUCCUCCAAGGCUAAAUACUCCUGACUGACCGAUAGUGAACCAGUACCGUGAGGGAAAGGCGAAAAGAACCCCGGCGAGGGGAGUGAAAAAGAACCUGAAACCGUGUACGUACAAGCAGUGGGAGCACCUUCGGGUGUGACUGCGUACCUUUUGUAUAAUGGGUCAGCGACUUAUAUUCUGUAGCAAGGUUAACCGUAUAGGGGAGCCGCAGGGAAACCGAGUCUUAACUGGGCGUUAAGUUGCAGGGUAUAGACCCGAAACCCGGUGAUCUAGCCAUGGGCAGGUUGAAGGUUGGGUAACACUAACUGGAGGACCGAACCGACUAAUGUUGAAAAAUUAGCGGAUGACUUGUGGCUGGGGGUGAAAGGCCAAUCAAACCGGGAGAUAGCUGGUUCUCCCCGAAAGCUAUUUAGGUAGCGCCUCGUGAAUUCAUCUUCGGGGGUAGAGCACUGUUUCGGCUAGGGGGUCAUCCCGACUUACCAACCCGAUGCAAACUACGAAUACCGAAGAAUGUUAUCACGGGAGACACACGGCGGGUGCUAACGUCCGUCGUGAAGAGGGAAACAACCCAGACCGCCAGCUAAGGUCCCAAAGUCAUGGUUAAGUGGGAAACGAUGUGGGAAGGCACAGACAGCCAGGAUGUUGGCUUAGAAGCAGCCAUCAUUUAAAGAAAGCGUAAUAGCUCACUGGUCGAGUCGGCCUGCGCGGAAGAUGUAACGGGGCUAAACCAUGCACCGAAGCUGCGGCAGCGACACUAUGUGUUGUUGGGUAGGGGAGCGUUCUGUAAGCCUGCGAAGGUGUGCUGUGAGGCAUGCUGGAGGUAUCAGAAGUGCGAAUGCUGACAUAAGUAACGAUAAAGCGGGUGAAAAGCCCGCUCGCCGGAAGACCAAGGGUUCCUGUCCAACGUUAAUCGGGGCAGGGUGAGUCGACCCCUAAGGCGAGGCCGAAAGGCGUAGUCGAUGGGAAACAGGUUAAUAUUCCUGUACUUGGUGUUACUGCGAAGGGGGGACGGAGAAGGCUAUGUUAGCCGGGCGACGGUUGUCCCGGUUUAAGCAUGUAGGCUGGUUGUCCAGGCAAAUCCGGAUAAUCAAGGCUGAGGUGUGAUGACGAGGCACUACGGUGCUGAAGUAACAAAUGCCCUGCUUCCAGGAAAAGCCUCUAAGCAUCAGGUAACAUUAAAUCGUACCCCAAACCGACACAGGUGGUCAGGUAGAGAAUACCAAGGCGCUUGAGAGAACUCGGGUGAAGGAACUAGGCAAAAUGGUGCCGUAACUUCGGGAGAAGGCACGCUGGUGUGUAGGUGAAGUCCCUGCGGAUGGAGCUGAGACCAGUCGAAGAUACCAGCUGGCUGCAACUGUUUAUUAAAAACACAGCACUGUGCAAACACGAAAGUGGACGUAUACGGUGUGACGCCUGCCCGGUGCCGGAAGGUUAAUUGAUGGGGUUAUCCGUAAGGAGAAGCUCUUGAUCGAAGCCCCGGUAAACGGCGGCCGUAACUAUAACGGUCCUAAGGUAGCGAAAUUCCUUGUCGGGUAAGUUCCGACCUGCACGAAUGGCGUAAUGAUGGCCAGGCUGUCUCCACCCGAGACUCAGUGAAAUUGAACUCGCUGUGAAGAUGCAGUGUACCCGCGGCAAGACGGAAAGACCCCGUGAACCUUUACUAUAGCUUGACACUGAACAUUGAGCCUUGAUGUGUAGGAUAGGUGGGAGGCUUUGAAGCGUGGACGCCAGUCUGCGUGGAGCCAACCUUGAAAUACCACCCUUUAAUGUUUGAUGUUCUAACGUUGGCCCCUUACCGGGGUUGCGGACAGUGUCUGGUGGGUAGUUUGACUGGGGCGGUCUCCUCCCAAAGCGUAACGGAGGAGCACGAAGGUUAGCUAAUCCUGGUCGGACAUCAGGAGGUUAGUGCAAUGGCAUAAGCUAGCUUGACUGCGAGCGUGACGGCGCGAGCAGGUGCGAAAGCAGGUCAUAGUGAUCCGGUGGUUCUGAAUGGAAGGGCCAUCGCUCAACGGAUAAAAGGUACUCCGGGGAUAACAGGCUGAUACCGCCCAAGAGUUCAUAUCGACGGCGGUGUUUGGCACCUCGAUGUCGGCUCAUCACAUCCUGGGGCUGAAGUAGGUCCCAAGGGUAUGGCUGUUCGCCAUUUAAAGUGGUACGCGAGCUGGGUUUAGAACGUCGUGAGACAGUUCGGUCCCUAUCUGCCGUGGGCGCUGGAGAAUUGAGGGGGGCUGCUCCUAGUACGAGAGGACCGGAGUGGACGCAUCACUGGUGUUCGGGUUGUCAUGCCAAUGGCACUGCCCGGUAGCUAAAUGCGGAAGAGAUAAGUGCUGAAAGCAUCUAAGCACGAAACUUGCCCCGAGAUGAGUUCUCCCUGAGACUUUAAGUCUCCUGAAGGAACGUUGAAGACGACGACGUUGAUAGGCCGGGUGUGUAAGCGCAGCGAUGCGUUGAGCUAACCGGUACUAAUGAACCGUGAGGCUUAACCUU